AUACGAAAGGUGCAAGCGUUGUUCGGAUUUACUGGGCGUAAAGAGAUCGUAGGUGGUUUGUUAAGUCGGAUGUGAAAUCCCGGGGCUCAACCCCGGAACUGCAUUCGAUACUGGCAGACUAGAGUUUGGGAGGGGUAAGCGGAAUUCCGUGUGUAGCAGUGAAAUGCGUAGAUAUACGGAGGAACACCUGAGGCGAAGGCGGCUUACUGGACCAAUACUGACACUGAGGAUCGAAAGCGUGGGGAGCGAACAGGAUUAGAAACCCUAGUAGUCC
rnacentral:rRNA from 1 species